rnacentral:rRNA from 1 species
UACGUAGGGGGCAAGCGUUGUCCGGAUUUAUUGGGCGUAAAGAGCGUGUAGGCGGCCAUGUAGGUCCGUUGUGAAAACUCGAGGCUCAACCUCGAGACGCCGAUGGAAACCAUGUGGCUAGAGUCCGGAAGAGGAGAGUGGAAUUCCUGGUGUAGCGGUGAAAUGCGCAGAGUAUCAGGAAGAACACCCGUGGCUAAGGCGGCUCUCUAGUACGGUACUGACGCUGAGACGCGAAAGCGUGGGGAGCGAACAGG